AGAGUUUUAGAGAAAUAUAAAGCUGGCAGGUCUCACAUUCAUGGCUGCCACUCUGAUUCUUGCUACCCGCUAAAGUAACUGCACUUACCUUGAUUGUGAUAUUUAAACAAUACAACCCAGAUUCUGUAACUCUGAGACUCUACCUUCACAAGUGGGGACACCUUUCUUCUCCUACAUCUUGUACAACAGAACUCCAAGUUCUCUGGCCUUUGGACUCUGGAAUUUGCACCAGCUCUUCCCCAAGGUUCUCCUGCCUUUGGCCUCAGCCUGCGAGUUACAUCAUUAGCUUCACUGAUUCUGAUACUUUAAGAGUUGGACUGAGCAACGUUACAAGUUUCACUGUUUAGGAGAGAAAUGUGAUUGGAGGAGGACAUAUGGAAGGCUUGAAAUGAACAGAUAGUUUCUCUCUUUAAGCUGGGCACGUAGUCUCCAGCCUGCCCACCCUGCAGAUUUUGGACAUGGCAGCUCCAUAAUCAUAGGCCCCUUGACAGCUGCUGGCACCUUGAUAUUGGACUUCUUGGCCUCUGGAUCUGCCAAGAUGGGAAGGGCCUUACACUGUUCUUCUUUCAAACCCCUCAUCAAUAAAAAUUAUGGGAGUCGACUGCUGGAUACAUCACACUUGAGUCAAAGCCUGGAGAGCUGAGGGAGAGAUCCCUGACAGCCCAAAGGAGCGUCCUGAAUAUCAAUGUGAAGAAAUAGGAUAUCUUAAGCUGAAAAUCACAAAAGCUUACUCUUUAUAGAAAUGUUGACAGGUAUGUUCCAUGUUCAUGUCAAAUGUAGAAAUCAUACAAUCCUGUGUUGUUGGUUUAUUUAUAUCACUAAAUAUAAAAAUAUGUGGAAUUAUACAUCACAGCUUUCUAAUAAGAUCCAAUUUGCAGCAAUUUAUUUUUUUAAGUCAUUGGAAAUACAUUUUAAGCCUAUUAUCUAACUCUUUAAAUGGUGGAAAAUAACAUUCUCAGCAAGAAAGUGCUAUUUAUAACUGGGUAAAUUUGUUUAUAAAUCCCAUAAUUCUCUGUAUUUUAAUGAGAUUUAUCUCUUUUUUGCAGCUUAAGUGCAUCAAUAAGCUUUUAAAAUAGGUUAGGCUGGUGGGUCAUGCCUGUAAUCCUAGCACUUUGGGAGGCCAAGGAGGGCGGAUCACCUGAGGUCAGAAGUUCGAGACCAGCCUGGUCAACGUGGGGAAACCCUGCCUCUACUAAAAAUACAAAAAUUAGCCAGGCAUGGUGGCACAUGACUGUAAACCCAGCUACUUGAGAGGCUGAGGCAGGAAAAUCGCUGCAACCUGGGAGGUGGAGGUUGCAGUGAGCUGAGAUCCCACCACUGCACUACUGCCUGGGUGACAGAGCGAGACUCAGUUUCAAAUAAUAAUAAUAAUAAUUUAAAAACAUAUAUACUUAUCUAAAGGAUAUGACAUAUUGUGCAAUAUUUCAAUCUCAAGAUACAAAUUUCAUUAAUUUUAAAUGUGUCACAAAAUAUUCAAUAGCAAGCAAAC
rnacentral:lncRNA from 10 species